rnacentral:rRNA from 1 species
GAUGAACGCUGGCGGCGUGCCUAAUACAUGCAAGUCGAGCGAACGGACGAGAAGCUUGCUUCUCUGAUGUUAGCGGCGGACGGGUGAGUAACACGUGGAUAACCUACCUAUAAGACUGGGAUAACUUCGGGAAACCGGAGCUAAUACCGGAUAAUAUUUUGAACCGCAUGGUUCAAAAGUGAAAGACGGUCUUGCUGUCACUUAUAGAUGGAUCCGCGCUGCAUUAGCUAGUUGGUAAGGUAACGGCUUACCAAGGCAACGAUGCAUAGCCGACCUGAGAGGGUGAUCGGCCACACUGGAACUGAGACACGGUCCAGACUCCUACGGGAGGCAGCAGUAGGGAAUCUUCCGCAAUGGGCGAAAGCCUGACGGAGCAACGCCGCGUGAGUGAUGAAGGUCUUCGGAUCGUAAAACUCUGUUAUCAGGGAAGAACAUAUGUGUAAGUAACUGUGCACAUCUUGACGGUACCUAAUCAGAAAGCCACGGCUAACUACGUGCCAGCAGCCGCGGUAAUACGUAGGUGGCAAGCGUUAUCCGGAAUUAUUGGGCGUAAAGCGCGCGUAGGCGGUUUUUUAAGUCUGAUGUGAAAGCCCACGGCUCAACCGUGGAGGGUCAUUGGAAACUGGAAAACUUGAGUGCAGAAGAGGAAAGUGGAAUUCCAUGUGUAGCGGUGAAAUGCGCAGAGAUAUGGAGGAACACCAGUGGCGAAGGCGACUUUCUGGUCUGUAACUGACGCUGAUGUGCGAAAGCGUGGGGAUCAAACAGGAUUAGAUACCCUGGUAGUCCACGCCGUAAACGAUGAGUGCUAAGUGUUAGGGGGUUUCCGCCCCUUAGUGCUGCAGCUAACGCAUUAAGCACUCCGCCUGGGGAGUACGACCGCAAGGUUGAAACUCAAAGGAAUUGACGGGGACCCGCACAAGCGGUGGAGCAUGUGGUUUAAUUCGAAGCAACGCGAAGAACCUUACCAAAUCUUGACAUCCUUUGACAACUCUAGAGAUAGAGCUUUCCCCUUCGGGGGACAAAGUGACAGGUGGUGCAUGGUUGUCGUCAGCUCGUGUCGUGAGAUGUUGGGUUAAGUCCCGCAACGAGCGCAACCCUUAAGCUUAGUUGCCAUCAUUAAGUUGGGCACUCUAAGUUGACUGCCGGUGACAAACCGGAGGAAGGUGGGGAUGACGUCAAAUCAUCAUGCCCCUUAUGAUUUGGGCUACACACGUGCUACAAUGGACAAUACAAAGGGCAGCGAAACCGCGAGGUCAAGCAAAUCCCAUAAAGUUGUUCUCAGUUCGGAUUGUAGUCUGCAACUCGACUACAUGAAGCUGGAAUCGCUAGUAAUCGUAGAUCAGCAUGCUACGGUGAAUACGUUCCCGGGUCU